UUUAGAGUGAGCGGCAAACGGGUGAGUAACGCGUGGGAAUCUACCCCUUUCUACGGAAUAACACAGAGAAAUUUGUGCUAAUACCGUAUACGUCCUAUURGGAGAAAGAUUUAUCGGAGAUGGAUGAGCCCGCGUUGGAUUAGCUAGUUGGUGAGGUAAGGGCUCACCAAGGCGACGAUCCAUAGCUGGUCUGAGAGGAUGAUCAGCCACACUGGGACUGAGACACGGCCCAGACUCCUACGGGAGGCAGCAGUGGGGAAUAUUGGACAAUGGGGGCAACCCUGAUCCAGCCAUGCCGCGUGA
rnacentral:rRNA from 1 species